GGCUGGUCGGAAGGUGGUGAGUUAUCUCAGUCAAUGACGCACAGUCAGUCACAGGGGGACGUCGUCCUCUUCUACCCAGUCACGACUGCACUUGACUGGUCUGAG
rnacentral:Y_RNA from 1 species